rnacentral:rRNA from 1 species
AGAUUGAACGCUAGCGGGAUGCUUUACACAUGCAAGUCGAACGGCAGCGCGGACUUCGGUCUGGCGGCGAGUGGCGAACGGGUGAGUAAUAUAUCGGAACGUGCCCAGUAGCGGGGGAUAACUACGCGAAAGCGUGGCUAAUACCGCAUACGCCCUACGGGGGAAAGGGGGGAUCGCAAGACCUCUCACUAUUGGAGCGGCCGAUAUCAGAUUAGCUAGUUGGUGAGGUAAAGGCUCACCAAGGCGACGAUCUGUAGCUGGUUUGAGAGGACGACCAGCCACACUGGGACUGAGACACGGCCCAGACUCCUACGGGAGCAGCAGUGGGGAAUUUUGGACAAUGGGGGAAACCUGAUCCAGCCAUCCCGCGUGUGCGA